AUUUAUAUAAUAUAAAAAUUAUAUUUAACUUCCAAUUAAAAAAUCUGAAUUUCAGUAUAAAUA
rnacentral:tRNA from 1 species